AAGCCACAGAAUUGCUGAGUUGGAAGAGGCUAACAGAUCAUGGAGUCCAACUUUCCAAUCAGCAGUGCCUUCCAUAAUCCUCAUUCCUGUACUGCUCUUGAAAGAAGAAAAAAAUCUUAAUUGAGAGAAUAAAAAUGUUGCACUUUUUAUUUUCUGUUCAGGGAGGGUCUUCUGUCAGUGAUAAUGGCAAUGAAUCCUAUGGUCAGGAUGGAUCUUCUGCAUAUGGUGGCACUGCCUCUUAUGGUCAGGACUCACCAUCCAUGGGAGUUAGUGAAUCUGAUUACAGUGAUUCCGCCUCAUCAUCUUACAACCGUCAGAGUGAACGGGAUUUUUAUUCCCCUGGAGGCAGCCAGUCAGGUGGACAUGGAUUAUCUUCUCAAGGUGGUGGCUACUCCGGUGGACAGGGCUCAUCCUCAUUAGGAAGCAACCAGUAUGGUGGGCAGGGUAUGCCUUCAAGAGGCAGCCAGUCUGGUGGACAGGGUGGAUGUCAUUGUCCUGGUGGGAGCCCGGGCUCUUUUGGAGGAAGCAACUACCAUGGUGGACAGGGCUCAUCUUAUUCUGGAGGCCGACAGCAUGGUAAACCAGUAAGUAAAAACUUAUCAAGUUUUCCUUAUAUUUUUCUCAUUACUCUGUUAUAUACAAAAAGAGUUUUUUU
rnacentral:lncRNA from 1 species